rnacentral:lncRNA from 1 species
GGGCAAGAGGGGGAGAGGAGACAUUUUAAAAGAAGAAGAACUUAAGUGCUUAAAAAAAAUAAUUGGUGGGAAGUAAAUAGGUAAAUAGGAAACAAAAGGUAGCAGAAGAAACCAAGAGUGCCUGAAAUUGGAAUCAGAAAGACACUAUAAUAAAAGAGAAGCACACAACGUGCAAGAACAAUGAGUAAUGAGAAGGAAGAGGGGGAUGAGGUAGAGGGACCCAGAGGCAAUGCUGAAGAAGCUGUGUGAGAAACACAGGGCAUACGGAAGUUCCAGGGCCAGGGACCAAACCAAACCAAGCAGUGACAAUGCAGAAUCCUUAACCAGGGAACUCCUCAUUUUGAAAAUAUUGAAUAAAACACAUCUUCCUCAUUUUUACUCCUUUAAAAAAAAAAGCUAAUUUUACCACUUAUUUUCUUUCUUCCUUUUCUUUCUUUCUUUUUUUUUUUUUUUUUUUAAUUAGGGCCACACCUACAGCAUACGGAAGUUCCCAGGCUAGGGGCUGAAUCAGAGCUACCACUACUGGCCUAUGCCACAACCACAGCAAUGCCAGAUCCAGGCUUUGUCUGUGACAUACACCACAGCACACAGCAACACCAGAUCCUUAACGCACUGAGCAAGGCCAGGCAUUGAACCCGCAUCCUCAUAGAUAAUAGUUGGGUUUGUUACAACUGAGCCACAGUGGGAACUCUCUACCACUUAUUUUCAAACCGAAAAUUUUGGAGUGAGCCCUGAUUCACUCCUUGUCCUCAUACCCACCCUCAAACCAUCAGUACUUGCUUAAAAAAAAAAAUCCAGAAUUAUUACUUUUAAUGUAAUUCAGAUCACAUCACUCUUCUGCUUAAAACAUUUCACUGACUUCAUUCCACUCGAAUUAGGGAAGGUCUGGACCCCCUUUACCUCUUGUGUACCUCACCUUACCCGGUCAUCCCCCACAACUUGCUCAUUACCUCCCAGCCUCCCUGGCUGCUUUUCCAUGGCUCAUUCUUCCAGCAGAGUUUUCACAUCUGCUGAUCUCUCAGCCUGUAACGGUGCCCUCUGUGCUCCUGGUACCUUGGAUGCCUUUUCUUCUAGGUCAGGACAGAGGUCACAUCUUCAGAAAGGUCUUUCCUGACCGUCCUCGCCAAAUGAGCCCUUCCCCCAGCUGUUUCCUAUCAGAUCACCUUUAAUUUCCCUCAAAGGAUCACACCUCUGAGAAAUGACCUUAUUUGUGGGUUUACUUUUCUCUGUCUGCCCCCUGCACUCCCUGCUUCUCUGGAAGCUCCCUGCAGCCUACUUCUUGUCCCCUCCCUCCAACAGACCCAGCCUUCAGAGCGAAUCCUGGCAUGGGAGUCUAUUCUGAGAUAGAACAGAGCAGAAAACACAUCAAGAAGUUACAUUAUCUUAUUUCUCUGCAGGGC